rnacentral:misc_RNA from 1 species
AAGUCGUAACAAGGUUUCCGUAGGUGAACCUGCGGAAGGAUCAUUAACACGUAUCCAAACGUUAACCCCCCUGUGAACCUUUAGUGUGCUCGUACGCUUUGUCAGAGCGUGGCAAUCCCUAGUAAAUCAUCGCCGAACAGUUUUCGAUUUAGGGACUUCCACAAAGAGUGUGCUCGUAGCGCGAGGCAAGUGGCCUGGCAUUCCCAAGCAGUUGGUGUCUGAAAGUGUCACUGGCUGUGUAAGGAUGGCGCAGUCACGAUCGUUGGAGGCCGACACGGCCGACGACCGGGUCACCGGGCUCACGCCCCUUAAUCACAACUUAAUGCAUGUCAGACGCGCCUGCGCUUAAUUGUGCGGC